GUCUGACCCAAAAACGGUCUGCAGCUCUUUAUGUAACACAUUUAUCGGGGUAAUAACAUAACACGGAGGAGGAUGAAGGUGCUUCUUUAUUGAGUGAAUCUUCAUCGUUUCUGUGUGAGAUGCAGAUUCCUGUUUCAAAGCGGUCUGAGUGGCGAACAGGAGGACAGUAAACACACGACUGCCAUUUUGGAGUCUCUCUGUGCGACCAACUCAGCAGCUCCCUCCAAGUUUUUCUGCUCUCCCAGAACACAACUAUAAACAACCGAACCUCUGCAAUGCUAAGUUUGCCAAACAGCCCCACACACUGGUCACAAACUGGAACUGCAUCUGGCUGAAGUAUAAUUACACUGGAGAAGAAAGAGAGGCGCCUUCCUUCACACCACCUGGUUUUAUAUUCCCAGAGGAUCCUGAGGUUUGCAGUUUAGACGACUUUUCUUUUUUAAUCUCAAAUAUAAAAGAUGUUAAAAAAAUGUGUUUUAGUAAUGACUUGUCCUCAGUCUGAUAAAAAACUAACCCUGUCUUUAAGAAGCAGGAUAAAUACAUGUCUGCCUUUAUUACUGAAGAGAGAAACUCUCCUUAUUUGACUCAACAUCUGUCUGUGAUCUCUGCUCCUUCAUGUGAGGGCCAACAGAGGAUAAAGACGGCUAAUUAAGACUCGCACUAACGGGUCUGUACGUCAAUUUAGUCUUUCAUUUUUUAAUAACGGAAGGAUUUUUGUCUGAAGUGUCAUUUCUGAUUUAUUCUUUUAAUUUAAUUCUUUUAAAUAAAUUAUUUUAUAAUUCUUUCAUUUUAUCUGACAACUUAUUUUAUGACAUCCGCGAACCUCUGUGUGUUUUUAUUCUGUACUUUUAAAAGUUUAAAUAAAAUAUUCAAAA